UUUUCAAGAAUCUUAGCAACGAAGAGUGUAGAGUGAAAAAAGAAGGGUGGAAGACCAUUUUCAUGGUGGCGUGUUAGUACAUGUGGACAUGGUGAAACAAAGUCAUCUUUGAUGAAGAUCUUCGGCGUCCUAUAGAUCAUAUUCAUGUGAUCCUCAAAAUGGCGAAGAAUAUCGAUGGAUGCAAAGCUUGUCAUUUUACUAGAACGUAGUGGCAGAU
rnacentral:lncRNA from 1 species